rnacentral:antisense_RNA from 1 species
UCUUCUUCUUCUUCUUCUUCUUCUUCUUCUUCUUCUUCCUCCUCCUUCCUCUCCUUUCUCCUCCUCCUCCUCCUCCUUCUCCUCCUUCUUCACACUUGUCUGCCUCAUACCCCAGCCUUGCUUGAUUUAUUUACCUGCAAGUUAGAAACUGGGAGAGAACCAACUUGUAGCUUUUUUGGUCUGGGAAAGAAAAUCCAAACCAUGCUUCUCUAGGGCCUCCUGACCUGGCUAAGCUCCAUGGAGGGAACCCUGGACAUGAGGGAUCCAAGCACCGCUCCGGUUUCCCAGAGGCCUGUGGAUGACUCUCAUCUGGCGGUGGACCUCAGAUGGGGCUCAGCAGUGAAAGAGGGGAAGACAAAAAUCUGGCGAGCGAGCUGCCCGGGCCGAGACUGGCCACUUCAAACAGCCCUUCAAACAAAAGGAGACGACGAAAAGAAAGCCCCACCUGUCUCCAGUGUUUGCUAAAAUAAUAAUAAAUAGAUUUCGUUUAAUAAAUAAUUACAA